rnacentral:rRNA from 1 species
UUACGGGAGGCAGCAGCGAGGAAUAUUGCGCAAUGGGCGAAAGCCUGACGCAGUAACGCCGCGUGAGGGAAGAAGGCCUUCGGGUCGUAAACCUCUUUUUGGAGGGACGAGGAAGGACGGUACCUCUAGAAUAAGUCUCGGCUAACUACGUGCCAGCAGCCGCGGUAAAACGUAGGAGGCGAGCGUUAUCCGGAUUCACUGGGCGUAAAGCGCGUGUAGGCGGUUCGGCAAGUCGGUUGUGAAAGCCCCUGGCUCAACUGGGGGAGGUCAGCCGAAACUGCGGGACUGGAGGGUCACAGAGGAAGGUGGAAUUCCCGGUGUAGCGGUGGAAUGCGUAGAGAUCGGGAGGAACACCAGUGGCGAAGGCGACCUUCUGGGUGAUCACUGACGCUGAGACGCGAAAGCGUGGGUAGCAAACGGGAUUAGAUACCCGAGUAGUCA